rnacentral:rRNA from 1 species
GACGAACGCUGGCGGCGUGCUUAACACAUGCAAGUCGAACGAUGAAGAAGAGAAACGCGAACUUCGGUUCAAAUUUCACUUCGGAUUAGUGGCAGACGGGUGAGUAACGCGUGAGCAACCUACCUCUUACAAAGGGAUAGCCUCGGGAAACCGUGAUUAAUACCAUAUGACACAUUCAUAAGGCAUCUUAAGAAUGUUAAGGCUACGGCGGUAAGAGAUGGGCUCGCGUCCCAUUAGCUAGUUGGUGAGGUAACGGCCCACCAAGGCGACGAUGGGUAACCGGCCUGAGAGGGUGAACGGUCACAUUGGAACUGAGACACGGUCCAAACUCCUACGGGAGGCAGCAGUGGGGAAUAUUGCACAAUGGAGGGAACUCUGAUGCAGCGACGCCGCGUGAGCGAUGAAGGAAUUCGUUUCGUAAAGCUCUGUUCUAUGGGAAGAAAAGGACUGUACCAUAGGAGAAAGCCCCGGCUAAAUACGUG